UACGGAGGGGGCUAGCGUUGUUCGGAAUUACUGGGCGUAAAGCGCACGUAGGCGGCUUUGUAAGUUAGAGGCGAAAGCCCAGGGCUUAACCCUGGAAUUGCCUUUAAGACUGCAUCGCUCGAAUUGUGGAGAGGUGAGUGGAAUUCCGAGUGUAGAGGUGAAAUUCGUAGAUAUUCGGAAGAACACCAGUGGCGAAGGCGACUCACUGGACACAUAUUGACGCUGAGGUGCGAAAGCGUGGGGAGCAAACAGG
rnacentral:rRNA from 1 species